rnacentral:rRNA from 1 species
GUGCCAGCAGCCGCGGUAAUACGGAGGGGGUUAGCGUUGUUCGGAAUUACUGGGCGUAAAGCGUACGUAGGCGGAUUGGAAAGUAGGGGGUGAAAUCCCAGGGCUCAACCCUGGAACUGCCUCCUAAACUAACAGUCUAGAGUUCGAGAGAGGUGAGUGGAAUUCCAAGUGUAGAGGUGAAAUUCGUAGAUAUUUGGAGGAACACCAGUGGCGAAGGCGGCUCACUGGCUCGAUACUGACGCUGAGGUACGAAAGUGUGGGGAGCAAACAGGAUUAGAUACCCUGGUAGUCCACACCGUAAACGAUGAAUGCCAGACGUCGGAGGGCUUGCCUUUCGGUGUCACACCUAACGGAUUAAGCAUUCCGCCUGGGGAGUACGGUCGCAAGAUUAAAACUCAAAGGAAUUGACGGGGGCCCGCACCAGCGGUGGAGCAU